ACAAGGGCAAGGGCUGCUGCUGUGAAGACGAUUAGGGGACAGAGGAGGCCUGAGUGUACACACCCCUGCCCAGCUCUCUUCAGCCAUGCCUAUGCUGCAGAAGCUCUCGGACCACAGGAGUGCUCAUAGACACACGUGUGUUAGCGUGAUGGCGUCCAGCAAGAGAGACGGGCUCAUGUCACGCAGUGCCUUCCUAUUAAAGGACCACAGGUUUGGACAUGCCAAAUAGAGCCGUCGCCUGUGUGCAACAGUCAGACAGGAAGCACUGGCUCAGCAGGAACCACGGGCUCUGUGUGCCCC